rnacentral:rRNA from 1 species
UACGAACCGGACGAACGUUAUUCGGAAUCACUGGGCUUAAAGAGUGCGUAGGCGGCCUUGUAGGUUGGGUGUGAAAGCCCACGGCUCAACCGUGGAACUGCGCUCAAAACCACAAGGCUUGAGGAAGGCAGAGGUGAGCGGAACUGAUGGUGGAGCGGUGAAAUGCGUUGAUAUCAUCAGGAACACCAGUGGCGAAGGCGGCUCACUGGGCCUUUACUGACGCUGAGGCACGAAAGCUAGGGGAGCGAACGGG